CAACAAAAUUGCGGGUGCUCCACCGACCCUGGGGCUGAGAAUGCAUAGGCGUGUGCAUGACCGCCAUGACCUGAUCGGAUAAUGCCGAAGAGGGAGUAAUAAUGAACAAUUCUG
rnacentral:ncRNA from 1 species